GGACGAACGCUGGCGGCGUGCUUAACACAUGCAAGUCGAACGGGAGUAUCGAAGAAGCUUGCUUUUAAGAUACUUUAGUGGCGGACGGGUGAGUAACGCGUGAGGAGCUGUCCUAUGCAGGGGGACAACAGUUGGAAACGACUGCUAAUACCCCAUAAGCCGAGAGGUAAAAGGAUUUAUCCGGCAAAGGAGGUACUCGCGUCCUAUCAGCUAGUAGGUGAGGUAACGGCUCACCUAGGCGAAGACGGGUAGCCGGCCUGAGAGGGCGAACGGCCACACUGGAACUGAGAUACGGUCCAGACUCCUACGGGAGGCAGCAGUGGGGAAUAUUGGGCAAUGGGGGCAACCCUGACCCAGCGACGCCGCGUGGGUGAAGAAAUCCUUCGGGAUGUAAAGCCCUGUUGUAUGGGAAGAGCAGAAGACGGUACCAUACGAGGAAGCCCCGGCAAACUACGUGCCAGCAGCCGCGGUAAUACGUAGGGGGCAAGCGUUGUCCGGAAUUACUG
rnacentral:rRNA from 1 species